rnacentral:rRNA from 1 species
AAGUCGUAACAAGGUCUCCGUAGGUGAACCUGCGGAGGGAUCAUUACAAGAACGCCCGGGCUUCGGCCUGGUUAUUCAUAACCCUUUGUUGUCCGACUCUGUUGCCUCCGGGGCGACCCUGCCUUCGGGCGGGGGCUCCGGGUGGACACUUCAAACUCUUGCGUAACUUUGCAGUCUGAGUAAACUUAAUUAAUAAAUUAAAACUUUUAACAACGGAUCUCUUGGUUCUGGCAUCGAUGAAGAACGCAGCGAAAUGCGAUAAGUAAUGUGAAUUGCAGAAUUCAGUGAAUCAUCGAAUCUUUGAACGCACAUUGCGCCCCCUGGUAUUCCGGGGGGCAUGCCUGUUCGAGCGUCAUUUCACCACUCAAGCCUCGCUUGGUAUUGGGCAACGCGGUUCGCCGCGUGCCUCAAAUCGUCCGGCUGGGUCUUCUGUCCCCUAAGCGUUGUGGAAACUAUUCGCUAAAGGGUGUUCGGGAGGCUACGCCGUAAAACAACCCCAUUUCUAAGGUUGACCUCGGAUCAGGUAGGGAUACCCGCUGAACUUAA